rnacentral:lncRNA from 1 species
AAUUCCUUUACUAUAGUCACAUUUUCUGAACAUGAGUGGACUACAUGGGUAAUUGAGUACGAAAAGAAAACUGAAGGCACUCCAGAGCCCCUCGUUCAGCUGGGUAUUGUCCUUGACAUGACCAAGGAUAUAGAUGCUCACCUUCUCAAGACAUAAAGGAUAUAUGCAGUGUGUACAUUUAUACACAUACAUAUCUAUGUGUAUUUGUGUUUGUGUUUGUGUGAUGAAUAAUUGGCAAUAUUGGCUAGUACUAGUUACUAGCUAAUAUGCAGAAUAAAGAAUGUUGUGCUUGAAGAAUAUAUAUAUUAUAGACACAUAAAAUUUAUUGGAUCAAAAUCCAUAUAAAAUUUAAAUUUGAUCCAUAUUUUAUUGGGUCUAAAAUUAUUUUGGGCUUAAAAAAAUAAUAAGCUCAUUUUAUUCCUUAUAAGGUCCAUCUCACUUUGAAGCCCAAACUCAUCAAGUGACGUGACAUUCUACUCAAAUCCAAGACCAAUGAGAUGCCGCCACAUGUAAAAAUGAUGUGGAAAUCUCAUUCAAAUUCAACAACCAGUCAAAAGACGCCAAGUGUCAAAGUGACAUAUUUCGACCAAUCACAAGUAACUAGGUCUACCCUUUACAAUUAUAAAUAGGGAGGUAACAUAACAUUCUAGAGGAGGAGAAAAGAAAGGGGACAUUCUGAAAGAAGGACAUUCUGCAAGCAUUAGAGGAAGCUUCUGCAUUGACUACGCAGCUCUUCAACGAAUUGACUAACAGAGUUCUGCCCGGAGUAUACCAGAGUUAAGUUCAGAAGCCAGUAGUAUUUUGUUACUUUUUGUUCGUUAUUCUACUUUCUAUAAGUUUUUUUCCUCUUGACUUAAUCUUUGUUUGACUCCUUUUUUUUUGGGUAAUCUUUGUUUAAGAAUUUUUAACUUGUAGAACAUAAUUGAAGAUUUCUUCUUCCUUCAAAUUUAUAGUUAACCUCUCCUCGUAAAUCAUAAUAAUGAUGCUUGGCUUGAUGUUAUAAUUCUUAACAAUAGAAUUGAAAAUAUCCAUUGAAUGUUGACAACUAUUUUGUACUUUCACGUUGACUGAUAAGUUGAAUUUAACUCUUGUUUACACAAUUUAUAGUAAUAAUAACAACAAAAACGACAACAAAUCUAGUGUAUUCAUUCAUACUGGGGUCUGAUGAGGGUAAAAUGUAUGUAGUCCGUACACUACUUCCGGAGAAGUAGAAAGAUUGUUUUCGGUAGUAUUUAUAAUAAUAAUCACAUUUUUAUUAUUUGAUCUAUUUGUCUAUACAAAUUGAAAAGAAAAAUAAUCAAAUCGAAACCCAAACUCUAUAAAAUCGAUAAAAUAAUUGUCUUAUUUGGGGCAGUGUAAAUAGCAAAACAUAAAGCAAAAAAUUAACUGAUUUCCAGCUGCAUUCGUAAAAAUUAGGUUCUUCGAUAAUGUUUCAAUAAAUUUUUCCUUCAAAAAUCUCUUACUAACAAGCCAAAUUCCAGUGGGACGCCCAUAAAAAUUAUUCUUUUUGAGUAGUAGCUUUAACGUUAAAAGUGAUAUGACAUCCACAACCUCGAAAUCCUAAAUCCACCUCUGCUCAUAUAUAAUAUACAUGAUAGAUGUAUCAUAAGGAUUGAGGGGUAUUCUUUCUUACUCUGAUGUGUGUGUGUGAUGUAGAUAUCAUAGUACACAACAACACUACUUAAUUGUUGAUGAUAUAUUAUUUUGAUAAACAAUAUGCUAGAAUAAGUUGGUUUUUGAUAAUUAAUAUAGAAUAAAUUACUAUAUCGGUUUUCUUUUUAUUGCUAUAUAAAAAGCACAAAAAAAUAAGAAAAUAAAAAAGGCAAAAAGGAGUGCAGAAUUAGCUUAUGAUGCAAAAAGGAAAUAAGGACAACAUGAUUUGAAAGAGGAAAAAAUAUAAGGUAAAAAAGAGCAAACAAGAAUAAUGUGUCAGUUAUUUCGAUAAUUGAUUUAGAAAGGAAAAUGAGAAAAUGAAAAUAAAAGAUAUAAUAUAUCAGCUAUACCAAAAAAUGUGAACGGUUGUUUAAUAUAUCAGUAAUAUUUAUAUUGUAUAGGAAAAAGAUAAUGAAGAAAAGGAGCAAAAAAGUAAAUGAAAUUAGAUUAUAGACUAAUAAAAUAAAAUAAGAUUUAAAUAAAAUUAGGCAAUGAGAUAAGAAUAAAGAACAUGAAAAAAAAAAAACUAAAGGAAAAAGAAAAAGUAAAAAGACAAAAAGAAAGUGGUCAAAAAUAUGUACAGAAUCAGACUAUGAUAGCUAGUAAAGAAUAAUAUGAUUUUUGAAAAAAAAAAUAAAAAUAGAUGGACAAAAAACGAGAAGAAAAAAUUAGACAAAAACCAAAAAAGAGAAAUAAAAAGAAAACCGAAAAAAUAAGGUAGUUAUUUAUAAAUGUUGCAAUAGGUAGGCAAGCACAAUAUAAUAAAUUUGAAGGAUAAAAAAGCAAUCUGGUUGACAAAGGUAAUUAGUUUGAUGUUUUGUAGAUAGAUGUGUAUUUUUUGCCGAAUGAAAAUUGCAACUAUUUUUCUGAGAGCUCAAUAUCCACCCUUCUAGCCUUAAAAACUCAAAUUUUCCGGUUCAAAAUUGAAAAACAUUAGAAAAUUUCGCUGGAACACAUUAGAAAAUCCGUCUAGCUCAUAGACAAUUUGUCCACUUAAAAGAUAAUUUAUACUAGCUCGAAUUCUUUCAAAUAGCUCAUGCACAAUUGAGAAAGUUGUUGCGUUCUACGUAAUUUUGAUAAUUGACAAAGUGACAUGAAAUAUGUAAGUUAAGCGGGUUCAUAAAUAAAUUGUCUCAAGAAAUUGAAUUUGUAGCAAGAUCACUACUGAAUAAAGACAUGCGAAAUAAUCAAGGACCAUAUAGUUACUUCUUAUAAGCUCAAGGAAAUAAACAUGGGUUGAUUUGAAGAAGUAGAACUUUAAACUAACUCUUUGAAGAGUUAUACUUAAGUAGCAGAUGUGUUAUUCAAAGUGACUUGCGUAUUUAAAAAGCAGUAAAAGACAAUUUACAAAUUGACUUUACAAAGUGGUACUUAAUUACUGAAGCAAUACAAUGAAUCAACAUAUUGAAGAACCUGAUAGAAUCUAUAGCUAAGAGUGUUAGCAUUAAUUUGUUAGUAGUUGUUCACUGUUGAUGUAUUAUUAGUUUCAGUAUGUUAUAAACUAAAUUAGGUGUUAGUGUUUGAGUUGGGCAUAACUCAAUAACUUGAGAACACAUACAUUGGGAGGUGUGUGUAGUUAGAAAUUAGAGUUUAUAAUUCCUAGGUUAAAGAAUUGGAAUCAAUUGUGUCGAGGGUCAUUGUUGUUUAGUGAAGUUGGGGUUCAAUUUUAUAGCGGUACUAGUUUUUUAUACAUUUUUUGAGCAAGGAGUCUUUCAUAUAAAAAUGCUUGUAUUCUUAACUUACUGUCUUUACUGUGUUCGCUGGAACACAUUAGAAAAACCGUCUCACUCAUAGACAACUUAUAAGUUAAAGUCACUAAAACCAAAGGCGGAGCUUCGAACUUCUUUUGACGGAAAAUUAUAUUAUUGAUACAUGAUUAAAAUAAUUUUUAUGUAAAUAUUAUAGAUGUUGAACCCCUUCGAUGAGUUUUUCUUUAGAUUUUGAAUCUUAUGAAUAGAAAUUCUAACUCCGCCUCUAAGUCUAGAACACUAGGUCGUGUAGUUUAUCAGAAGUAUUUUCUCAUUUUCCAUCACAUCUUCACUUAAGGGUUAAUAAUUUCAUUUAUAAUAAGAAUAGUAUAAGACAUGUAUAAACACUAAAUAGCUAAAUGACUCUUCGUUACAAAUUUAGGGUGUAAAAUACGUAUUUUCUCAAAAUCUUAUAGGUGUAAAUGUAUCUUCAUCAUCUUUUAACUAGAAUGAGCAUGUACAAGUUCAUAGUAAAAGAAAAUUUUAUAACUAAAUAAAUAUUUAAUUAUACACAAAGGAAUUAACAGGAAUCACCACUAAUAAUAUGUGAUAUAAACACAACCAAUGAAAAUGGCCUGAUAUAUAAAUGUACUCUUUAACUUGAUCUCAAUUGUUAUCUACAUCCCCAACUUCAGGUUUGUAUAAGUAAGCAAUUAAACUUGUAUAAAGUUGAACAAGUAGACACAUGUAUCACACAUAACAAUUCGCGUCCCUGAGAUCGAUUAAUUAAAUAACACAUUUAUAUAUUAUGCCUAUUAAAAUCUAUAUAAAGGCUACAAGUUCUAAACAUAUUCUCACCACUUUCAUUUUACAACUUGUUGAUACUCCAAGCAGAAAAAAGUAUGGGUGUGAAAGGCAAGUUGAUUGCAUCCGUGGAAGUGAAGUGUGGAGGAAGCCUGAUUCAUGAACUUUUUCACAUCCAUGCUCAUCAUGUACCCAAUAUAAGCCCUAAUAUUAUCAAUCAUUUUGAGAUUCAUGAAGGUGAAACCGUAAAGGUUGGUUCGAUUGUUAGCUGGAGUUAUAAUGAGGGUAACACAUAUUUCCCUACUCUCUCAUUUUUUUUAUUUAGGUGUAUUUAGUGAUAUGAGAAUGAUAUGAAAAAUGAGCGAAAAAAUAAAUAAGAUAUGAAUAUGAUUUGUAAAUGUUUAAAUCUUACGUGAGGAAAAGAAAUUGGCAGCUAAAUUCAUUUGACUUUAGAAAUCAUAUUAUCAACAUAGUGAUAGAUCCUUAGCUUGUUAUAGUCUUGUGCAUGUACUAAAAUUUAAUCUACCUACUAUACGACAAUCCAUUUAGGGGUUGUUUCCAUUUAGGGGUUGUUUGGUAGAGUGUAUUGAAAAACUAAUGCAUGUAUUAGUUUAAUGUGUAUUACUAAUACCUUAUUUGGUAUACUUUUGCACCCUAUUUAUAACUAAUGCUUGCAAUAGUUAUACUCUAUUGUGUAUUAAUGUGUGCAUUACUAAUACCUCAAAAUCCAUGGUAUUAGCAAUGCAAUAGAUCCAAUACAUAUAUUAACAAGAUUAAAGACACUAUUAUCCCUCAAAAAAAUAAUAUGGAGGGUAUUUUUGUAAAAAAUUUUUUUUUUUAAGAAAUUAUUUAAUUCAUGUUAUUUUUAAUACAUCAAACCAAACACUGCAUAAAAAAAAUACAAACAUAGCUAACACAAGCAUUACUAAUACAAGCAAUAUUAAUACACCAUAUUUUGCAUUAUUCUUAUACACUCUACCAAAACUUCUGACUAAUUCGAUCCACACCAUUAUCUAGGCUAGUGGAACUGAUACUUGAUUAUUAGAAAAUAUUUUUCGCCGUAUCAAACACACCGAUGAUCAUUUAAUUGAGAAGACAAAAGAUUUGAACUGAAAAUUAAUGUUGUCACCUGGGAAUUCAAUUAGGACUUGUCGAACUAAUUUGAGGUCUUUAAGGUUUAGUAUUUAACCAGAAUCUAUCACAACAUGAACAAAAUUUAAAUCUUAUUUUCUUGAAUUUGGCACUGCUUUCAUAGAGAAAUUGUAGUUCCCAAUUAAUGGAAAAUAAAAGAGGAAAAAGUUGGUGUUCAAUGACUGAAAAAAUGAAAUGGUGGGGUUUAAUUUGUUUGUUUUCAUGAGUAAUUGAACAGUUGAAUUAAGAGUAACAUCUCUUAUAUUUUUUUUAAUUUAAUGAUUAUAGCUGGACAAAAAAGGUUUAUAAAGCAACAAAUAGAAGACAUCGAUCCUGACAAGAAAUUAAUCAGAUGGAAAGCCAUUGAAGGAGAUGUGUUAGAGUCGUAUAAUUCCUUUACUAUAGUCACAUUUUCUGAACAUGAGUGGACUACAUGGGUAAUUGAGUACGAAAAGAAAACUGAAGGCACUCCAGAGCCCCUCGUUCAGCUGGGUAUUGUCCUUGACAUGACCAAGGAUAUAGAUGCUCACCUUCUCAAGACAUAAAGGAUAUAUGCAGUGUGUACAUUUAUACACAUACAUAUCUAUGUGUAUUUGUGUUUGUGUUUGUGUGAUGAAUAAUUGGCAAUAUUGGCUAGUACUAGUUACUAGCUAAUAUGCAGAAUAAAGAAUGUUGUGCU